rnacentral:rRNA from 1 species
UAGUGGCGGACGGGUGAGUAACGUGUGGGCCACCUGCCCUGUACUGGGGAAUAAUCAUUGGAAACGAUGACUAAUACCGCGUGUGGUUCUCGCAAUGCAUCUUCUGAGGAAGAAAGGAUUUAUUCGGUACGGGAUGGGCCCGCAUCUGAUUAUCUACCUGGUGAGAUAACAGCCCACCACGGCGACGAUCAGUACCCGACCUGAUAGGGUGAUCGGCCACUUUGGGACUGAUACACGGCCCAAACUCCUACGGGAGGCAGCAGUGGGGAAUAUUGCACAAUGGACGAAGAGCCUGAUGCAUCAACGCCGCGUGAACGAUGACGGGUUUCGGCUCGUAAACUUCUAUCAGUAGGGAAUAAACAAAUGACGGAACCUAAAUAAGAAGCCCCGGCUAACUACUUGCCAUCAGCCGCGGUAAUACGUACGGGGCAAGCGUUAUCCGGAAUUACUGGGUGUAACGGGAGCGUAGGCCGCAUGCUAAUCCAUAUGUGAAAGCCUUGGGCUUAACCCGGAGGAUUGCAUUUGAAAUAUCAAACUAGAGUACAGGAGAGGAAAGCGGAUUUCGUAGUGUAGCGGUGAUAUGCGUAGAUAUUAGGAAGAACACCAGUGGCGAAGGCGGCUUUAUGGACUGAAACUGACGCUGAGGCUUGAAAGUGUGGGGAGCAAACAGGAUUAGAUAUCGUGGUAGUUCACGCCGUAUACGAUGAGUGCUAGGUGUCGGGGAGGAAUCCUCGGUGUCGCAGCUAACGCAAUAAGCACUCCUCAUGGGGAGUACGACCGCAAGGUUGAAACUCAAAGGAAUUGACGGGGGCCUCGCACAAGCGGUGGAGCAUGUGGUUUAAUUUGAAGCAACGCGAAGAACCUUACCAAGGCUUGACAUCCCGAUGACCGUCCUAGAGAUAGGACUUCUCUUCGGAGCAUCGGUGACAGGUGGUGCAUGGUUGUCGUCAGCUAGUGUCGUGAGAUGUUGGGUUAAGUCCCGCAUCGAGCGCAACCCUUAUCUUCAGUAUCCAUCAUUCAGUCGGGCACUAUGGAGAGACUGCCGUGGAUAACACGGAGGAAGGUGGGGAGGAUGUCAAAUCAUCAUGCCCCUUAUGUUUUGGGAUACACACGUGAUACAAUGGCUGGUAACAAAGUGACGCAAGACGGAGACGUUAAGCAAAUCACAAAAAUCCAGUCCCAGUUCGGAUUGUAGUAUGCAACUCGAGUACAUGAAGCUGGAAUCGAUAGUAAUCGCGAAUCAGCAUGUUGCGGUGAAUACGUUCCCGGGCCUUGUACACACCUCCCGUCACACCAUGGGAGUUGGAAGCACCCGAAGUCGGUGACCUAACAGUAAGGAAGGAGCCGCCGAAGGUGAAGCCAGUGACUG